rnacentral:rRNA from 1 species
AACGAACGCUGGCGGCGUGCCUAACACAUGCAAGUCGAGCGCGAAUGGAGCAAUCCUAGUAGAGCGGCGCACGGGUGCGUAACACGUGGAUAAUCUGCCUGGAAGAUUGGAAUAACCUGCCGAAAGGCUGGCUAAUACCAAAUAAGCCUACGGGGACUUCGGUCCUUGGAGGAAAAGGUGGCCUCUGUAUACAAGCUAUCACUUCCAGAUGAGUACGCGGCCCAUCAGCUAGUUGGCGGGGUAAUGGCCCACCAAGGCAACGACGGGUAGCUGGUCUGAGAGGACGAUCAGCCACACUGGAACUGAGACACGGUCCAGACUCCUACGGGAGGCAGCAGUGGGGAAUUUUGCACAAUGGGCGAAAGCCUGAUGCAGCAACGCCGCGUGUGUGAUGAAGGUUUUCGGAUCGUAAAGCACUUUCGACCGGGACGAACACCCCUUGGCUAACAUCCAGGGGCCUGACGGUACCGGGAGAAGAAGCACCGGCUAACUCUGUGCCAGCCGCCGCCGUAAGAC